rnacentral:tRNA from 1 species
CAAAUUAGAGCUUGUAAAAGUAUUUUAUUUACAUUAAAAAGAAGAUUGAUUUCAAUUUAAUUUGA